UACGUAGGUCGCAAGCGUUGUCCGGAUUUACUGGGCGUAAAGAGCGCGCAGGCGGCUGGUCAAGUCCGAUGUGAAUCUCCCGGCUCAACUGGGAAACUGCAUCGGAAACUGAUCGGCUUGAAGAUGGGAGAGGGUAGUGGAAUUCCCGGUGUAGUGGUGGAAUGCGUAGAUAUCGGGAGGAACACCAGUGGCGAAGGCGACUACCUGGCCCAUUCUUGACGCUGAGGCGCGAAAGCUAGGGGAGCGAACGGG
rnacentral:rRNA from 1 species